AUUAAUUAGGAGGAGGAGCGUUAUUUCAUUAAACACGUGUUAGCAUUCUUUGCCGCUAGUGAUGGAAUUGUCAAUGAAAACCUGGUCGAGAGGUUUAGCUCUGAGGUACAGGUAACUGAAGCUAGGUGUUUCUAUGGGUUUCAAAUAGCAAUGGAGAACAUUCAUUCUGAGAUGUACAAAAUACAGGCAAAAAGAUAAUCCAGAUGAAUGAAAUACUGGGAUUCCAUC